UACAGAGGGUGCGAGCGUUAAUCGGAAUUACUGGGCGUAAAGGGUGCGUAGGUGGUUUGGUAAGUUAGGUGUGAAAGUCCUGGGCUCAACCUGGGGAUUGCGCCUAAAACUGUUAAGCUAGAGUACUGUAGAGGGAAGUGGAAUUUCCGGUGUAGCGGUGAAAUGCGUAGAUAUCGGGAGGAACACCAGUGGCGAAGGCGACUACCUGGCCUGUUCUUGACGCUGAGGCGCGAAAGCUAGGGGAGCAAACGGG
rnacentral:rRNA from 1 species